rnacentral:rRNA from 1 species
CAACAACGAAGAGUUUGAUCCUGGCUCAGGAUGAACGCUAGCUACAGGCUUAACACAUGCAAGUCGAGGGGCAGCGGGGGUGGAGCUUCGGCUCCACCUGCC